CAUGCUCCUGAAAGUCAAGAAAAGCCUCUGACUCACUAAUUCCAGAAAAAUUGAAAUUCUCUCACUUCUGCUUCAUAGUGUGUUCAGAGUUAUGAGAAAUCAAAAGUAUGAGGUACAAUGUUUGAAGGAAAUACUUCGGGAAGAAAGCUAUCAAAUUAAUGGACCCAUACAGGGCUGAGCAAUAGUACAAUCACAGCUUUACAGUAAAAGUGUGCCAGAAAACCCCCUAUUCUCAAUCUCUGAUGAACUGAUGGUGAUUUACUAAAUAUCUAGCAGUCAUAGAGCUUGUCAUCCAUGAAUCUCAUAGGCAGGAAAUAGCCCCAUUUACAGAUGGAGAACGGAGGCAUAGGGAGGUGAUGUAAAUCAAAGUUACGCAGUAGGCCAGUGGCAGAGCUGAGACUAGAAUACUGGUUUCCUGAGUCCCAUAUCCAUUAAGAAAGACUGUCUCAACAAAGUUUUCAAAAUUGCAACUCUUCUAAAAGUCUACAGCACACGAGCUAUAUACACACACAUAUAUAUAGCGCACUAUUUCAAACACUAGAUGGGAAGCCCUGUCUUCCUUACUCUCAAGAAUGGGAUUUCAGCCCAUUCCUGAUGAAUAUCGCUUUAUAAGCUGUUUAGAAGUGAAGCUUCCAAGUGUAGGGUCACCCAGUUGUAGACGUUUUCCCAGGAUGUUACACUCAUUUUCCCUGAGACCAGCAAGCUAAAGCACUAAAGUGGCCAUUAUCAGCUGCUUAUUUCCUCUUUUGGCUGGAAUAUUCCUAGACGUGGGUUUUCACUCUGAGAAGAGGACAUCCUCACAUUCUGUUUUAAGUUGCCCAUACGGCAAAGUUUGUCAUCCUUUGGGUCUGGUGGAAUUUCUAACACACCCUCUUCAUCCUGGACAUAAGUUUAGGGCUUGUCUACGCUGGCAAUUUAAAGUGCUGCAAGUGUCUCGCUCAAGGGGUGUGAAAAAACACCCCCGAGUGCAGCAAGUUGCAGCGCUGUAAAGCGCCAGUGUAGACAGUGCCCUCCCAGCGCUGGGAGCCGCGUCUCUUAUGGAGGUGGGUUUUUUUGAGCACUGGGAGAGGUCUCCCCCAGCGCUCUGCCGCGACCACACAAGCCACGUUAAAGGGCUGCCGCUAGCCCUUACAAUCAGCGUGGUCUUUCACUACAGUGUUACCUGUAUUUCAAAUGCUCCUCUAAUUCCCACUCACUAUACAAAUGUGCUAUUCUAGAGGUUAGGGAGAAAUCAUCGUUAUAUACUAUCGGUAGCUCCUUCUCCUAGCUCAAUCUUCCUCUACUUCGCUCACCAUAGAAGAGCUUCCUCGGAUUUUCAUAUGACCACACAACAUAUUAAAUGCUGAUACAACCUGCUGUUACAAACAGGGAUGUAAGUGAAUAAAACUGCCUCUGUCAAAUGUUGUUCUCCCCUGUUUGGAUCAAAAUGCUGCAGUAUACACCUGUCUGGAAGUGCAAACCCAUUGAUACGCUGACCGUACAGUGUGCUAGUAUUAAAGGCUGAAGGAUACAUUUCAUUUAUUUGUUAAACAGAUAAACAGACCUGUCCUAUUCUGAGCAGGCUGCAUCUCCUCUACCAACUAGCAAAGCAUGUAGUUUGCACCAAUGAGAACAAUGCCCAAGUCUUUAGGAGUUUGAGCCAACACAGCAGCGCCUUCCUGAAAGGUAUGCAACUUAUUACACAGUACAUUUGGGAAACGAGGAAAUUAAGACCCACAGUCACUCAAUUCACUUACUUCUGUCACUCCUUCAUCCUCGGAUAGGUACCCAUGGGGUACAAAAAAGCCAUCAUCAUCAUCUUCAUCUUCUCCUCCCUCCUCCUCAUCAUCCUGAAGAUAAAGUUAACUUUACUAGAAACUGCACUUUAUAAGUCACCUAGCAAGAGUUUCAAAAAGCAGCAAGAAUCCAGACAUGAACAGUCUCAGAAAAGAAUGUCAUCUGUCUGGUUUGAGACUAACUACAACAAAGCCCUCAGUCCACUAUGACAGCUAUAUUUCUUUUGAAUCAUCUCCAUAACUUUAAGGCUAGCUAGCACAGGAAAUCCUCACCCCUUCACUGUGAGAGAGAGACUCUCCUGGUUCUUCUUCUUCCCACUCUUCAUCACUAUCUAUCUCAUAGUCGAGCAGUUUCUGUAAUGAGAAAUGUCCAUGUCACCACUCAGUCAAUGAGCUCAGAGAGCAAUGCAAGAGUUCAUGCAACAAUUCAAACAGCAGCAAGAUGGAAUAAAUGACCACUGGUCUGUGAAAUGCAAGAGAAGAACGCAUGGAUAUUUGGACAAAAAGUCUGCUUCAGAAUUGAGAGAAAGCAAUCAGUAAGGCAUGGGUAAUACCAUACUGAUUGUGAAAUGCUUACAUUGUCCUUUGACCAGGGAUUCCUGGGAUGAAUAACAGUAGUUUUCUUAUUCCAUGUGCCCCAGUAUGCAGGUCGAUGAUUCUCAGAAAACUGUAGCAGUUUCAUCCUGCCAAAUUUCUUCCUUUCAGGAACACUGUCCAUUUUGCAGCUAUCCACUAUUACCACAUCACUGUUGAAACAAACAGCCCUCAGUGGUUUCAUACUCCACUGCUGCUCAGAUAGAACCUACAGAAAUCACUUAAAGGCCUGAGAGACCCUCUUCAGUUCAGCAGUCUUAAACAAUUCUCGAGUAUUUGAAUUAACUACACAUCACCACCAUCUUCUUGCAAGGACAAAGCUUCUAUCCAGGCCAGGGUCCCUCCCUAAAUAAAUACACCAACCCAUGUGUAAUAGCAGCUCUGUUUUAACUGUGACAGUGUCUUUUUUUUUUUUUAAAGCCAUGUUAUUUAGACUACGUCUACACUGUGAACCUUACAACAGGGCGGCUGUGCCACUGUAGCCCUGCCGCUGUAAGGUUUGCGGUGUAGCCAUUCUUUAUCACCGGGAGAGAGCUCUCCUGGUGACAAAAUAAAACCACCUCCAACGAGGGGCAGAAGCUUAGCUCUCCACACCAGCGCUUUUCGCCAUUAAAACUUUUGUCGUUCACGGGUGUGGUUUUUUCAUACCCCCGAGCGACAAAAGUUUUGAUGAAAGUGCCCGUGUAGACAAAGCCCUAGAUGAAGCAAACAGAGAGCUCCCUUUCUGCACUGGACACUGUUAAAGUGCAAGACUGCCCGUGGAGAAUGAUUUGUGAGCUUGUGUAUGGAAUCAAGGAAAUCUGCAUCACAAUACAUUGCUUCCUGUGGUGAAGAAUCUCAUACAAGGAAAACCCCACUUUUUUGUGAUCACUGCUGUUGGUGCAAACCAUUUUCCAACACUGGUUUCACAGUUGGUAUGUAAGCGAACAGCAACCCCAAGCCCCAGACUAACCUGUUGACUAUGUCAGCACUGCGGUAAUAGACAAUGGUAGGUCCAGAUUUAUGUGGCUUGCGGCACUUUAGUUCUUCCAAGAAAGAUAUGUCGUUAUUCUGUGCUUGUAGGAACUCAUCUAACUGAUCUGAGAGGUCCUGAUCAAAGGCAACACGACAGAGUGGGGCCAGGACCAUGUUCUCUUUAAUUUCAAAGGGAGCAAAUUUCCCACAGGAGCCAGCAAGGGUCUGAAAUUAUAAGUGCGUUUAGAAAUGUUAAAGUCUGAAUCCAUCAGCAUCUGGAAAACAGCACCAGCCCAUUUGAGUUAAAUCUAAAGUCCUGAUACUUCAAGAGAUGCUAGGAUCAGGGGUAGUCUAUUUUUUGUCAAGGUCGAACUUUCUUGGCCAAGGUAUAGUCAAGGUCCAGACUCCAGAGAAAAUAAUUAAAAAUAAAUAAUGAUAAUUAAUAAAUAAAAACAUUUUGGGGUCUGUUCAAAAGUGUCUGGUGAUCAGUAUUUGGCCCACGGUCCACCUAUUGACUACCCCUGGAUUACGUACUUCCUAUUUGUGAAGUCAGCAGAUCCCCUUGAGGGGAAUUAAAGUCUUGUAAUCAUUCUUGGAAAAGCUAUUAAUUGAGAGUCAUGGAUUUUCAGUAUAACUGGCAAGAAGCAUGAUCUCUACCAUAAGAGAUUACAGUUCUGUCCCUCACAGCAUCCGCCACAAAGUUUUCAAUUGUCUAACCACAGAUGUACAGCCAUCACUUUUUAAAAUAAAUUAGAAGUCAGUCCAAGUUUGUUCAUUUGAAAAGAAAAAGGUGUGGAUGCAUGUCAUUAACAGAACGAGUGUGUUGGUUCAGAAGAUAGUCAAUGAAGCAGAGAAAUAAAGAAAAUGAUUCGCAAUAACCCACCUUGGGGGCUUGUGGAGUCUUUGGUUUCUGAAAGAACCUGGUGAUUUCUGCCUUCUGUGCAUUAAUGCGCUGGAAUUAGAGAGUUGAAAUACAUGUUAACUUGUUAAAUGAAUGUUAAUAUGGCCCAGUCUUUAACGGGUUACACUCUUUAGCUCACUAAAGUCCAAGAUGAGGUAUAGAGUGAGGGAUUUGGUCUUUUUGUUCAGAUCCUGUAAUACAAUGAAACAUUAACAAAAAGGCUGUUGGUUUCUGUGAAACACCUAGUAUGAAUCUGGACACCAAUAACGAACAACAACAAAUGAAUGUACUACAAUUGCCUUGUCCUGCGUUGGAAUCCUAUAACUGAACACAACAAAAGUGUGCAGGCUAAGGAGGCUAAGUGUUCGGAUAAGGGAUUGCUCCAGCUCUGUUUUCUCCUGCUUUAAAUUCAUCACUUGAGUGACUGUCAGAAUUUGAGUGGGAAGAAUGAUGCUUUGGUGGAGGGCUUGUACUGUUAUCCUGUGCAGAGGAUGGGUUAUGACAGCUUUUGAUGGAAGAUCUGUCGAAAGCCCAUCACAUUAUCCUUUCUGAACAAGUACUUGAGUUGCUCCCCAAUGAUUUUUGGAAGGAUUUCCAUAUUCCCACUGUUCCCCAUUUCUAGCCCAGAGUCCUGAAAGGUGAGAAUUUCCAUACUGGUCCAGAUAUUCCUUCACAAACAAAACGAGAAGGCCAAUAACUCCAUGCUGCAGCAUGAUUUGUGAGCAUUGUUGAAAGAGGCAAGUUCAGCAAGGAUUUAUGGACAGGCCAGCAGCUUGACAGAUCAGAACAGAGGAAGCUUUUAUGUUUUUUGGGGGAGAGGAAGAUGGAGAUGGACAAGUAUAAACAAAGGCAACAGCACUCAUGGGAGGAAUGGAUAGAGAGGUACCAAAGCAUCACUGGUGGAGUAGUGCAAUAAGACUAGAUUGAAGGGAGAGCAAAUGGAGAGAUUCAAAGAGGGGGACAGAAGGGGAUAUUAGAAGCUAUGUUCUGGAUGAUCUAGCAAGGGGUAAUGUGGGUGUCAGGGCGAUCAAGAACACUAGCAGUCUCCAAUUCCAGUACAAGAACCUAGAUAGAAAGCAUCAGAGGGACAGCAAGACUCCAAAAUAAAGAAAGAAAUUUUUACCUUUUCCUCCUCUUUUAACCGUUUCUCCUCCUCUUUCUUCCUUUUCUCUUCAAGUUUUGCCCUUUAAAAUAUAAAGUUAAUUUAAGGAGUUACCAUACAAGUCAUUAAGGUGACAGUCUUUAUUAUUUGUAUUGUGGUAAAGCCUAGGAGCUCCAGGCAUGGACCAAGACCCAUUGUACAAAUGGAACAAAAGGGCAGUCUAUUCAUCUGAUCAAAACCAGCAAGAAUGUGGAACAAAAGAGACUAUUUGUGUCUUCUGCACUGGAAGUUUAUAUGUUCAACCAUGUCUACAUGACUAGUUAUCCAUUUUCAACUCCCUCCAACACCCAGAAGAGGGAUUUGUGUUUGUAACACAAACUU